GCCAGGUCCUGAGUUUUUCUAUUUGGCCACAGUUUACUUCCAGCAAGGUGUUCGGAUGAAAUGCUAUGGUAGUAAUAAAUGCAAGUUAAGAUGGCCAAAGAAUGACAGGCAUGCUGAAAACCGUGCUCGCUAUCUGACCAACCGAUGGCCUGCAUGUGUUCACUGCGAGCUGCUGUUUGCAACUUGCUACAAAGCAAUGUGCUUUGCUACUGUCACAGUCGAUAGCGAUUGCAUUUGACCUGUGGCAGCAAGAGCUCACUAGAUAAAUGGCACUGCAAAAUUCAUUGUGUUUGAGUCUUCUAGUGAGGUGAAACUAGGUUGCCUUUAAGUGUGAUCAGGUGCGUAAGUUGCUGCUGAGUUAUGACUGGCACAUGGGUGCAAAUGAUGUUGACUUUAACCACCAAUCAAUAUGUUGGAAAAUGUUUGCCAAUUUUUAAAGGUAAUCAGGAAUAUUGAAUAGGUUUUCAAA